CGGGSAUGGCGGMGCUUAMCAUGCAGUCGAGCGGAUGAAGGGAGCUUGCUCCUGGAUUCAGCGGCGGACGGGUGAGUAAUGCUUAGGAAUCUGCCUAUUAGUGGGGGACAACAGUUGGAAACGACUGCUAAUACMGCAUACGCCCUACGGGGGAAAGGAGGGGAUCUUCGGACCUUUCGCUAAUAGAUGAGCCUAAGUCAGAUUAGCUAGUUGGUGGGGUAAAGGCCUACCAAGGCGACGAUCUGUAGCGGGUCUGAGAGGAUGAUCCGCCACACUGGGACUGAGACACGGCCCAGACUCCUACGGGAGGCAGCAGUGGGGAAUAUUGGACAAUGGGGGCAACCCUGAUCCAGCCAUGCCGCGUGUGUGAAGAAGGCCUUUUGGUUGUAAAGCACUUUAAGCGAGGAGGAGGCUCUUCUAGUUAAUACCUAGGAUGAGUGGACGUUACUCGCAGAAUAAGCACCGGCUAACUCUGUGCCAGCAGCCGCGGUAAUACAGAGGGUGCGAGCGUUAAUCGGAUUUACUGGGCGUAAAGCGUACGUAGGCGGCUUUUUAAGUCGGAUGUGAAAUCCCUGAGCUUAACUUAGGAAUUGCAUUCGAUACUGGGAAGCUAGAGUAUGGGAGAGGAUGGUAGAAUUCCAGGUGUAGCGGUGAAAUGCGUAGAGAUCUGGAGGAAUACCGAUGGCGAAGGCAGCCAUCUGGCCUAAUACUGACGCUGAGGUACGAAAGCAUGGGGAGCAAACAGGAUUAGAUACCCUGGUAGUCCAUGCCGUAAACGAUGUCUACUAGCCGUUGGGGCCUUUGAGGCUUUAGUGGCGCAGCUAACGCGAUAAGUAGACCGCCUGGGGAGUACGGUCGCAAGACUAAAACUCAAAUGAAUUGACGGGGGCCCGCACAAGCGGUGGAGCAUGUGGUUUAAUUCGAUGCAACGCGAAGAACCUUACCUGGUCUUGACAUAGUAAGAACUUUCCAGAGAUGGAUUGGUGCCUUCGGGAACUUACAUACAGGUGCUGCAUGGCUGUCGUCAGCUCGUGUCGUGAGAUGUUGGGUUAAGUCCCGCAACGAGCGCAACCCUUUUCCUUAUUUGCCAGCGGGUUAAGCCGGGAACUUUAAGGAUACUG
rnacentral:rRNA from 1 species